rnacentral:tRNA from 1 species
AUUUUCUUAGUAUAAUUAGUACUAAUGACUUCCAAUCAUUAAGCCUUGGUUAACCCCAAGAGAAAAUA